GUUGGGGAGCGUGUUGUGUAUCUGCUCUUGAUCGCGAGCGCUGUGUUCUCGAUCUGGAUGGUCGCGAAGCAGUCGAUUGCAUUUCCUGUCGAUGUGGCGAUGCAGCGGGCCGCUAUCGCGCAGGCAGCCACUGGCCAGAGUCAGGGCGUCUAGGCCUGAGCAGAAGCGUACAACAACGCCGCACCGGCGCCCAGACGGCGACGCCGGCAAUGCGAGCAGCCCAGAAUUUCUCCCCACCUCCCCUCCGCAUUCAGCCCUUCUAUGUUCUUCCACUCCUUCCUUCAGGACACGCGCGUCGGUCUGCGCCUUCUGUUUAAAGAAAAGUCCUUCUGCAUUCUAGCCGUCACCGUCCUCGCACUCGGUAUCUGCGGCGUGACGACACAGUUUGCGAUCGUCAAUGGCGCCAUGCUGCGCGGGUUCUCGUUCCCGGACCCGGAGCAGCUCGUCGGGAUCGGCCUGCUCGAUCCGCAGGCACCCGAGAACCAGACGAACGGCGGCGCCGGCUU
rnacentral:misc_RNA from 1 species